rnacentral:rRNA from 1 species
UCAUAUGCUUGUCUCAAAGCUUAAGCCAUGCAAGUGUAAGUUCACGCCACGCAUUAGAACGGGCGAAACCGCGAAUGGCUCAGGAACCGGACCUAAUCCUCGGGACCGUAAUCCUCCUCUUGGAGGCGAUGGAUAACUGUGGCAAUUCUAGAGCUAAUACAUGUGACACAAGCCGCGAUCGGUCGGCGUCUGGCGUCGUCUUGGCCUCCGUGCCCGGGCACCCGCGUCGAUCGUUACGGGUCGCGGCGCUACAUAUUAGACUGAGACCGAUGCGCGUUUCUCCGUCCUCCCGCUCGCGUCGGUUCGCUUCGGCGUUCCGCUCGCGCGGCGGGGUUACUAUGGACGGCGCGCUCCGCUUUGGUGACUCUGGAUAACUCACUGGUCGAUCGCACCGGCUUCAUGCCUGGCGACGGGUCUCUCGAGGGUCCGCCCUAUCAACUGUCGACGGUCGGUUAAGUGCCUACCGUGGUUACUACGGGUAACGGGGAAUCGGGGUUCGAUUCCGGAGAGGGAGCAUGCGAAACGGCUACCACAUCCAAGGAAGGCAGCAGGCGCGCAAAUUACCCACUCCCGGCACGGGGAGGUAGUGACGAAAAAUAACGACGCGGGACUCUGUCGAGGCCCCGCGAUCGGAAUGAGUACACUUCAAAUCCGUUAACGAGGACCAACCGGAGGGCAAGUCUGGUGCCAGCAGCCGCGGUAAUUCCAGCUCCGGUAGCGUAUAUUAAAGUUGUUGCGGUUAAAAAGCUCGUAGUCCGAACUCGGGUUCGUGGUCUCUCGCGAGGCCCCGGGGCGGCGGCGCCAUCGUCCGUUGUUGACUUUGGUCGUCCGUUCGCAUUCCCGGCCCUUUCCGCCGGUGUCGACUGCCAUGUACAUCCGCCUCGCGGUCUGCCYUCGGGAAUUGUCGGGCGUUCGCGCGUCGACUCGUCGUCGCGCGUCGCCCGUCGUCCCGUCGCGCGCGCGUGCUUGCGGUCGGGCGGUUUCUCCUCCAAGGGUGCUCUUAACCGAGUGUCCGCGGCGGCCGGUACGUUCACUUUGAAAAAAUUAGAGUGCUCAGAGCGGGCUGUUCAAGCUUGCAUACGAUAAGCAUGGAAUGAUGGAAGAGGGCCUCGUCUACGUCUGUCGGUCUCCGUCUACGGCGAGGCAAUGAUCGAAGGGAGCGGUCGGGGCCACUCGUAUUGCGACGUUAGAGGUGAAAUUCUUGGAUCGUCGCAAGACGAACUGCAGCGAUGGCGUGUGGCAAGCACGUUUUCCUCGAUCAAGAGCGAAAGUCGGAGGUUCGAAGACGAUCAGAUACCGUCGUAGUUCCGACCGUAAACGAUGCCGACCGGCGAUCCGCCGGCGUUCGCUUCCAUGACCCGGCGGGUAGCCUGCGGGAAACCAGAGUUCGGUUCCGGGGGGAGUAUGGUUGCAAAGCUGAAACUUAAAGGAAUUGACGGAAGGGCACCACCAGGAGUGGAGCCUGCGGCUUAAUUUGACUCAACACGGGAAAACUCACCCGGUCCGGACACCGGUAGGAUUGACAGAUCGAUAGCUCUUUCUCGAUUCGGUGGGUGGUGGUGCAUGGCCGUUCUUAGUUGGUGGAGCGAUCCGUCUGGUUGAUUCCGAUAACGAACGAGACUCCGGCCUGCUAACUAGUGCGCCGAUGUGUGUGCGUUUAUUGCUACGGCGGGCUCGGGCCGUGCGUGUUCGUCGUGCGUCGCUUCCCGGCGUGCGUUUGCGUUCGUGUUCGCUGUCGGCUUGUCGGGCGUUCGCGUUCGGCGGUCGGCGGUGGGGCGGGCGUGGCGCCGCCGCGGACGGCGCGCGGUCGUGCGCGCGGUUUCCGCCGGGUCCGGGUCGGUUUUCUCACGCACUUCUUAGAGGGACGGGUGGCAGAAAGCCACACGAGGCGGAGCGAUAACAGGUCUGUGAUGCCCUUAGAUGUCCGGGGCCGCACGCGCGCUACACUGGAGGUAUCAGCGGGGACUUCGCCCCGGCCCGAGAGGGCUGGGAAACCUCUCAACCACCUCCCGUGAUAGGGAUCGGGGCCUGUAACCAACCCCGUGAACGAGGAAUUCCCGGUAGGCGCGGGUCAACAGCCCGCGUCGAUCACGUCCCUGCCCUUUGUACACACCGCCCGUCGCUACUACCGAUCGAACGGUCCGGUGAGGUCCUCGGAUCUGGCCGACGACGCCGCCGGGUUGUGCCGCUUGCGGUUACGCCUCGGCGUUCGACGCCUGGAGAAGACGACCGAACCCGAUCGUUUAGAGGAAGUAAAA